rfam:Streptomyces auratus AGR0001 genomic scaffold Scaffold1, whole genome shotgun sequence.
GGUAGCUCGCUGGGCUCAUAACCCAGAGGUCGCAGGUUCAAAUCCUGUCC